AUUUUGAAUUUUUUUACGGUACCCCGGAUUUAAUAGAAACCGUUUAUUUGUCCCAAUCUAAUGAAUAUCAUUGCUUGUUACUCCAUCUCAAUCCCACGGAGUACUGAGUGGAAAAACCAGGGAGUACCCCGAAUUGGAUGGCAAACUUGUAAUUAUGUUUGAACCUUAGGUCUUUGAGAUUUUGAUUUGCAGUUAAGAAAAAUAAAAAAAAACGUUUUGCUAUACCACAGACGACUGCUUUUUUUGGUUAGAAAACAGGCGACGUCUACACCGUCGGAUGCACCAUUAAGAUGUGCUGAUUCCGUUGGGUUGUCUCGUUUUACCCAUUUCUUUGUUCGCUGUUUGGCUGUUUGCUCCGCUGUUGUCCCAGUCCCCGUUCUGCACUUCUGCUAGGCAGCCUAGGCUGCAGGUUUCUCCAGUGAAGGGAGCAGUUGGAGGAUGGGGGCGAAGGGAGCAGCCGGAGGGCGCCGUUUUCUCCAGUGCACGCCGCUAGAGCUUACCAUGGAGGUGCAGGAGGUGCGGCUCCCAUCCCUUUCCCACAGUGACGGGAACGGGAGCAGCGGGGGGAGAGCCCGUCGGAGUGGGGGCGAACUGAGGCAGAAGAGCUCCUCGGAGUUGGGGCGGAAGGGCCUGUCGCCGGAGCUCGUUUCCUUCCUUUCCCGCGGCGGCGGUGGCCGCGGAGCCCCUCUGCGUAACCCCUGCGAUUUCAUCCGAGCAAGGCGAAGACUACAUACGCGAGAGGGGAGGGUGGCACGGAGCACUGGGGGGCGGCGCCACUAGAGCAGGGGGCGCUCCAGCAGGGGGUGGCGGCGGCGCUCGGGCAGGAGCCGGCGGGGUGGCGGCGCUAGGGCAGGGGGCGCUCCGGCGGGGGGUCGCGGCGGCGCUCGGGCCGGAGCCGGCGCAGUCAGGAGGCGGUGCGGCGGCUGCGCCGAGGCGUAGCACGGGCGGCGGGGUGGCGGCUGCGCCGAGGCGAAGCACGGGCGGCUGCGGUCCCUAAUCCUCUUCUAUCGGUCUGGUCUCGGACCAGGAGUCUGGAUAAUCUAAUCUAUUUGAUUAAGGGGCGAAAAGACUAUCGGACAAGGCUCCCUGCAGAUGCAGCACUCGCGCUUGUUGUUGUUUCCGAGAGAGGAGACGCGGAUCCGGAGCGCGCAUUUGGCGCAGACCGAGCUGUGGCCGCACGGGCCGAUGGCCACAAACUCCAGCGGCUCCAUGCACACCGCGCACUCUUCGGCGUCGGCAUCGGCAUCGGCAUCGGCGGGCGGCGGCUCGACGACACGAGCUAAUUCGACGACGUUGAUGGCUACGUGGCUGCAGGGUUUGCCGGGAGACGCGAGCUGCUGCUGCUGUGCCGUGAGUUUGGCUCCGGCGCCGGAGUUGUCAUUGAUGUCGACGGCGACGUGUCCGGUUGUGGUGGGGAGGUCAGCCAUGGGGGCAGCCGUGCUCGCGCGAUCGGGUCUAUUACACGAUACGUGCGUGCGUACGAGUGCACCUGUAUGCCAAUCGAAACCACCGCGACCCGCUUCGCCAAUAGUUAGCGCGUACAAGUUAGUAUAAAGUUGCCGAGACUGAAUUCGCGUCGGACUUGGUGUCGGCUGACAACGGGACUCGGGACUUCUGUCCUCCUUCGGGCGAAGCCUCCCGACACUUUUCUGGCCUGCAGGCCGUUUGGGCCGUGCCUCGGUUGAACCCUGUAUUGGAUGCAUGUUCACCUCUCAUCGCAUGUCCAUGGCCCGCGGCGCGCGGUCGUCUGAGAAGACCGUAUUGGCGUGUUCGCCGGUUCCUUUACAUCGCUCUGUUAAGUUUUUAGCAAAGUAAUACCCUCCAUUUUAAAACACUUGUCGCUUAGCAUUGCCAAGCAAAACCAAUCAUGAAUUUUCCAGGAGAAAUCACAUGUCAUCACAAACAUAUUUUUGUUUACCAAAAAAGAGCAUCACAAGCAUUCAGAUAGGUUUAAUCAUAUCAUACAUCACCUGCCGCUAAGCAAAUUGAAGGGCUUUUUGACAAAAUUUCUACUUCUCUAUGGCGAGGGGCGACGAGCAUAAGAAGGCGUGUGCGUGCAUUGCACCGCGCAGAAAAAUCUUCCCGUAUACAAA